rnacentral:rRNA from 1 species
AAAUCUGGUUGAUCCUGCCAGAGGCGACCGCUAUUGGAGUUCGAUUAAGCCAUGCGAGUAGAAAGAAAUUAGAUUCUUUGCAUACUGCUCAGUAACACGUGGAUAACCUGCCCUACACUGGGGGAUAAUCUCGGGAAACUGAGAAUAAUACCCCAUAGAUCACAACGCCUGGAACGGUGUGUGGUUGAAAGCUCAGGCGGUGUAGGAUGGGUCUGCGGCGUAUCAGGUUGUAGGGGGUGUAAUGGACCUCCUAGCCAUCGACGCGUACGGGUUGUGGGAGCAAUAGCCCGGAGACGGAUUCUGAGACACGAAUCCGGACCCUACGGGGUGCAGCAGGCGCGAAAACUUCACACUGCAGG